UACGAAGGGGGCUAGCGUUGUUCGGAAUUACUGGGCGUAAAGCGUGCGCAGGCGGCUGCUCAAGUCAGGGGUGAAAGCCCAGAGCUCAACUCUGGAAUUGCCUUUGAGACUGAGUGGCUUGAGUACGGGAGAGGUGAGUGGAAUUCCCAGUGUAGAGGUGAAAUUCGUAGAUAUUGGGAAGAACACCGGGUGGCGAAGGCGGCUGCACUGGCCCGUAACUGACGCUCAUGCACGACAGCGUGGGGAUCAAACAGG
rnacentral:rRNA from 1 species